CGGACAUUAUCUUGUCCUUACUGCCUGCUUGACACCAAGAACUCAAGAAAAUGGUGAUCCGUAAACUGUUGGUGGUCUUUGCUCUGGUGACUCUAAUCAAUGCAGCACCGACACAAAACAGUGCUACACAAAAUGAAGCUCCCUCCAGUCAACAUGAUGAAUCCACUCAAGAAUUUUGGAAACAUCUCUUUAAAAUUGCUGGACAUGUAUUAGGACACCUUGGAAAUUCAGAAAAAGAUGAAGCAGCUCAGGAGUUUUCAAAAAGUAUUCAAGACAUUAGCAAAUAUGUAUUAGAACAUGACGAAAACAUCUUGGGACACCUGGCCAAUUCAGAGAAAGAUGAAGCCACUCAAGAGUUCUGGAAACAUCUAUUCAAGAUUGGCGGACACAUCUUGGGACACCUGGCCAAUUCAGAGAAAGAUGAAGCCACUCAAGAAUUCUGGAAACAUCUAUUCAAGCUUGGCGGACACCUCUUGGGACACCUGGCCAAUUCAGAGAAAGAUGAAGCAACGCAAGAGUUCUGGAAACAUCUAUUCAAGCUUGGCGGACACCUCUUGGGACACUUGGCCAAUUCAGAGAAAGAUGAAGCCACUCAAGAGUUCUGGAAACAUCUAUUCAAGCUUGGCGGACACCUCUUGGGACACCUGGCCAAUUCAGAGAAAGAUGAAGCCACUCAAGAGUUCUGGAAACAUCUAUUCAAGCUUGGUGGACACCUCUUGGGACACCUGGCCAAUUCAGAGAAAGAUGAAGCCACUCAAGAGUUCUGGAAACAUCUAUUCAAGCUUGGCGGACACCUCUUGGGACACCUGGCCAAUUCAGAGAAAGAUGAAGCCACUCAAGAGUUCUGGAAACAUCUAUUCAAGAUUGGCGGACACCUCUUGGGACACCUGGCCAAUUCAGAGAAAGAUGAAGCCACUCAAGAGUUCUGGAAACAUCUAUUCAAGAUUGGCGGACACAUCUUGGGACACCUGGCCAAUUCAGAGAAAGAUGAAGCCACUCAAGAAUUCUGGAAACAUCUAUUCAAGCUUGGCGGACACCUCUUGGGACACCUGGCCAAUUCAGAGAAAGAUGAAGCCACGCAAGAGUUCUGGAAACAUCUAUUCAAGCUUGGCGGACACCUCUUGGGACACUUGGCCAAUUCAGAGAAAGAUGAAGCCACUCAAGAGUUCUGGAAACAUCUAUUCAAGCUUGGCGGACACCUCUUGGGACACCUGGCCAAUUCAGAGAAAGAUGAAGCCACUCAAGAGUUCUGGAAACAUCUAUUCAAGCUUGGCGGACACCUCUUGGGACACCUGGCCAAUUCAGAGAAAGAUGAAUCCACUCAAGAGUUCUGGAAACAUCUAUUCAAGCUUGGCGGACACCUCUUGGGACACCUGGCCAAUUCAGAGAAAGAUGAAGCCACUCAAGAGUUCUGGAAACAUCUAUUCAAGCUUGGCGGACACCUCUUGGGACACCUGGCCAAUUCAGAGAAAGAUGAAGCCACUCAAGAGUUCUGGAAAAUCUAUUCAAGCUUGGCGGACACCUCUUGGGACACCUGGCCAAUUCAGAGAAAGAUGAAGCCACUCAAGAGUUCUGGAAACAUCUAUUCAAGCUUGGCGGACACCUCUUGGGACACCUGGCCAAUUCAGAGAAAGAUGAAGCCACUCAAGAGUUUUGGAAACAUCUAUUCAAGCUUGGCGGACACCUCUUGGGACACCUGGCCAAUUCAGAGAAAGAUGAAGCCACUCAAGAGUUCUGGAAACAUCUAUUCAAAGCUUGGCGGUCACCUCUUGGGACACCUGGCCAAUUCAGAGAAAGAUGAAGCCACUCAAGAGUUCUGGAAACAUCUAUUCAAGCUUGGCGGACACCUCUUGGGACACCUGGCCAAUUCAGAGAAAGAUGAAGCCACUCAAGAGUUCUGGAAACAUCUAUUCAAGCUUGGCGGACACCUCUUGGACACCUGGCCAAUUCAGAGAAAGAUGAAGCCACUCAAGAGUUCUGGAAACAUCUAUUCAAGCUUGGCGGACACCUCUUGGGACACCUGGCCAAUUCAGAGAAAGAUGAAGCCACUCAAGAGUUCUGGAAACAUCUAUUCAAGCUUGGCGGACACCUCUUGGGACACCUGGCCAAUUCAGAGAAAGAUGAAGCCACUCAAGAGUUCUGGAAACAUCUAUUCAAGCUUGGCGGACACCUCUUGGGACACCUGGCCAAUUCAGAGAAAGAUGAAGCCACUCAAGAGUUCUGGAAACAUCUAUUCAAGCUUGGCGGACACCUCUUGGGACACCUGGCCAAUUCAGAGAAAGAUGAAGCCACUCAAGAGUUCUGGAAACAUCUAUUCAAGCUUGGCGGACACCUCUUGGGACACCUGGCCAAUUCAGAGAAAGAUGAAGCCACUCAAGAGUUCUGGAAACAUCUAUUCAAGCUUGGCGGACACCUCUUGGGACACCUGGCCAAUUCAGAGAAAGAUGAAGCCACUCAAGAGUUCUGGAAACAUCUAUUCAAGCUUGGCGGACACCUCUUGGGACACCUGGCCAAUUCAGAGAAAGAUGAAGCCACUCAAGAGUUCUGGAAACAUCUAUUCAAGCUUGGCGGACACCUCUUGGGACACCUGGCCAAUUCAGAGAAAGAUGAAGCCACUCAAGAGUUCUGGAAACAUCUAUUCAAGCUUGGCGGACACCUCUUGGGACACCUGGCCAAUUCAGAGAAAGAUGAAGCCACUCAAGAGUUCUGGAAACAUCUAUUCAAGCUUGGCGGACACCUCUUGGGACACCUGGCCAAUUCAGAGAAAGAUGAAGCCACUCAAGAGUUCUGGAAACAUCUAUUCAAGCUUGGCGGACACCUCUUGGGACACCUGGCCAAUUCAGAGAAAGAUGAAGCCACUCAAGAGUUCUGGAAACAUCUAUUCAAGCUUGGCGGACACCUCUUGGGACACCUGGCCAAUUCAGAGAAAGAUGAAGCCACUCAAGAGUUCUGGAAACAUCUAUUCAAGCUUGGGGACACAUCUUGGGACACCUGGCCAAUUCAGAGAAAGAUGAAGCCACUCAAGAGUUCUGGAAACAUCUAUUCAAGAUUGGCGGACACUCUUGGGACACCUGGCCAAUUCAGAGAAAGAUGAAGCCACUCAAGAGUUCUGGAAACAUCUAUUCAAGCUUGGCGGACACCUCUUGGGACACCUGGCCAAUUCAGAGAAAGAUGAAGCCACUCAAAAUAAUGGAAUGCAUCACUACAUUCUUCAUAAAGGUUAAUACAAGGAACAGUACACAAGUGCAUAUUUUUUUGCAG
ensembl:lncRNA uncharacterized LOC114480875